GACACGGCGCUGGGCAGAAGUCGGCACAGUCUGGUAACGGACACUGGCAGGGCUGCUUACAGGGUGGACACGAGCCGAAAUGACACUUGUGCCGUUCCAGAGACAAAGGAUGACAGGAUGGGGGUUUCCAACUGAGGAACAGAGAUCGAUGUAGAGCCGCAAUCACAGCGAACUUCAACCAUCUCUGGACACGUAUAACAGCUCCCUGAAACACACACACACACACACACACACACACACACACACACACUGUUCAUUCAUUGGUGUCAUUUUCAGCUAUAUUAACAUGUGUUUGUGCAGUAAUGACAUGCGUCAACAUGAUGCAGAAUGUCGCAAAAUUGUUGUAUUUUUUUUUGACAUCAUGGCGUCACAUCGGCGGGUGUCUCAGUUCACAACUGUGAGAAAUCAGCUUCUCCAAAUAAGAAAGUGUUGAUGAACUUAAGCGUGUGUCUCUUUGUCCUCUGAAUGAAGAUUUGAGUAGUUCACACACUCACGGCCUGACAUUUAAUAAACCAGUACAUGGAGAUAACAGUCGUCUGCCAGAUAACACCAUUAAUCCAGACACACAAUCUGCAUUCGGCACAUUGAAAGAGAAUGACCAAAAAAGAGCAUGAAUGAUCCAUGAAUAAUAAAUCCAGCUCAGAUAACCUCUACACUCCAUUACCUUUCCUUCCACACACACACUUCUGUUCUGAGAAAAGGUCAGCUCACUGAAAUAUUAACACAGAAGAACUAGACUCUAACUGGGAUGACAGGAAACAGUUCUGGUCUGAUCGUGACACAAAAACAAGAGCGAUGAAAUUAAUCAGUCAAGGUUUCCAUCACUCCCUCAUGAGGGUAACAGACAGGAAAUGCUCCCAUUUGCUUUGGGCACAGGAAACACCCCUGCAUUAUGCAGCAGAUGGAGAGAAAGGCAUUUGGAAAAUCCAAAUUCCAAGAGACCCACGCAAGAGUUCAUCAACAUUCAUGCAAGGCCGGUUCCAGGAUGUGAUCUUUGGUGGGGCACAUGUAUGUUUAGGGGGGCAAUGUUGAUCAUUUCGCCAUCAGUCCCGGUAUCAGAAGGGGGGGUACUGACAACAUUUCUCCCAAAUUCCAAAUAAAAUUAUUGUCAUUUAGAGCAUUUAUUUGCAGAAAAUAUCAGCUGGUCAAAAUAACAAAGAUGCAGUGUUUUCAGACCUCGAAUAAUGCAAAGAAAACAAGUUCAUAUUCAUUUAUAAACAACACAAUACUAAUGUUUUAACAGAAAUCAAUAUUUGCUGGAAUAACCCUGAUUUUCAAUCACAGCUUUCAUGUGUCUUGGCAUGCUCUCUACCAGUCUUUCACAUUGCUGUUGGGUGACUUUAAGCCACUCCUGGUGCAAAAAUUCAAGCAGCUCGGCUUUGUUUCAUGGCUUGUGGUCAUCCAUCUUCCUCUUGAUCACAUUCCAGAGGUUUUCAAUGGGGUUCAGUUCUGGAGAUUGGGCUGGCCAUGACUGGGUUUUGAUCCGGUGGUCCUCCAUCCACACCUUGAUUGACCUGUCUGUGUGUCAUGGAGCAUUGUCCUGCUGGAAAAACCAAUCCUCAGAGUUGGGGAACAUGGUCUGAGAAUUUCUGAAGCAGCCCCAGAUCAUCACCAAUCCUCCACCUGGUCAUCUAAUGGUUAGACGGAGACCUGAAGAGGCCUUCAAGCCACAGUGUCUCACACCCACUGUGAAAUUUGGAUGAAGAUCGGUGAUGAUCUGGGGGUGCUUCAGCAAGGCUGAUGGCACCUGUUUACUUGCACUGUAUGAACAAAAAGAGUUGAAAAUAAUUUUUCAUUCUUGGGUGAACUAACACUUUAAGGUGAACUUAUUUUUUAUUCAAUAAGAAGAACUGCACAUAAACUAUAAUGGAAAAACAUUUGCAAGAUGCGCAUAAAUAAAGGCAUGUGACUGAUUAAUUAAUUCAUAACUGGACUAACCAGAGGACAAAUCAUCACAUCUGAAAUGUUGCUCUGAAAUAACAGUGUCUAGAAAAUCCAAAGCCUGCAUAAAGUUUUCAGAGCAAAUAAGUCAUAUACAAAUGUGAACUGUGCCGAAGAGCAGGUUUAUCGACACUUUUGACAAAUAUAUUAUAGAUCUGCACACACAUAGUGCUCAUAAACAUGAUUCUUUUAGUGUUUUGUUUGUGUGCUCUAAACUGCAAGUGUUUUAUUAAUAAAAGAGUCACAGUGACUACAGUUUCUCCAGAA